rnacentral:rRNA from 1 species
UACGGGGGGGCAAGGCGUUGUUCGGAAUUACUGGCGUAAAGGGCUCGUAGGUGGCCAACUAAGUCAGACGUGAAAUCCCUCGGCUUAACCGGGGAACUGCGUCUGAUACUGGAUGGCUUGAGUUUGGGAGAGGGACGCGGAAUUCCAGGUGUAGCGGUGAAAUGCGUAGAUAUCUGGAGGAACACCGGUGGCGAAGGCGGCGUCCUGGACCAACACUGACACUGAGGAGCGAAAGCCAGGGGAGCAAACGGG